rnacentral:rRNA from 1 species
UACGAACCGUCCAAACGUUACUCGGAAUCACUGGCUUAAAGGGUGCGUAGGCCGCGCGGAGGGUGGGAUGUGAAAUCCCCCGGCUCAACCGGGGAAUAGCGUCCCAAACCGCCGUGCUCGAGGGAGACAGAGGUGAGCGGAACUGAUGGUGGAGCGGUGAAAUGCGUUGAUAUCAUCAGGAACACCAGUGGCGAAAGCGGCUCACUGGGUCUUUCCUAACGCUGAGGCACGAAAGCUAGGGGAGCGAACGGG